rnacentral:rRNA from 1 species
GACAGAGGGUGCAACCGUUGUUCGGAAUUACUGGGCGUAAAGCGUGUGUAGGCGGCCAAGCAAGUCGGAUGUGAAAGCCCAGGGCUCAACCCUGGAAGUGCACUCGAUACUGCUAGGCUCGAGUCUCGGAGAGGUUGGUGGAAUUCUUGGUGUAGAGGUGAAAUUCGUAGAUAUCAAGAGGAACACCGGUGGCGAAGGCGGCCAACUGGACGAAGACUGACGCUCAGACACGAAAGCAUGGGGAGCAAACAGG